ensembl:lncRNA
CUCCAACAACAUGUUUCUGUCAUCUUCUCAAAUAUGCUACAUGAUAGAAUAAUACACCUGUCUGUGAUGACAGGAAUGAUCUUCAAUGCAGACACAUCUGUUUGCACUGUUAAUUCAGGACACAAUUGUCCCAGCAGAACUGCAGGCUGCCUUAUGACCACAGCUGCUUUCUGGUAAUAGCAUCUACUAUCUGAGUUGAAGAACACGUUUCAUGUCUCCUAAGUGAACAGAAGUGAUGAAGUUUGGAGAAACCCCUCCUCUUCCUGUGUGUAUGUUUAUAAGUUUUUUCUAAAUAUGACAUCUUGUAAUUAAUAAAGCUUUCUAUCCUGCAGCCUCUCAGUGGGAUUGACAAGACCAGUUGAUACUUUUCUUGCAUCCGUUUCUCUGUUCAUCUCUUUUCUUUCUCCCUAAAAUUGGCAUCCUAUCUCAACUAUGAAUCUGACCAUAGUCUAGAAGUCAGAGGCAUCUACAGACAUAGCACUGGCACCUCUGGGCCAGCAGAUCUCCUUCCUCAGCCAGCUGCAGUGUGGCUGCUGAGCACUGUCCCCAGAGCUCUGGCCUGGGAGCUGAGGUCAAAGCAAUGCUUUGGUAGCUGGUUUCAAGACAUAGUUAGGAUUUCAGGUCCAAAAUUUAGGGGUGCAGGGCAAUAAGGAAAGGUAGAAGUAAAGGUGAAGAAAAGGUCUGAUGGACAUGUCAGUCUAAUGAAAAAGGGACCCAAGGGGUCUUCAUCAGCUUUGCUGAAACAUUGAGGAUGAGACCCUUUGAGGAAUGAGCAGAAUCAUCCAAGUUUUAAAAAAAAAAAAAAAAAAGAAAACGGCAACAAAAACCAGGAUACUCACUCCUCCAGCUGAAGAUCUGAUCUGCAAUAUACUUCUCAUCUCUUUUCUUAAAGCUUAUUGAAUUAAGCUCACUUAGGUUAGAUCUAGAGGAAAGAGUACUAGAUAUAAUCUUCUUCCUGCUUAAUUUAACAGAACAAAUGUAGGAGUUUUCUCCUUUGUGAUGUCAUAGUCUCAGAGGUAUCCUACUGGGAGUCUGUUCUACAGCUUGAUGUUUGUUGGUUCACAAUACAGCAACAAAACUUUAAACAGAGGAAACUUUAUUCCAAAAGAAAACUCUGUAUCCCCCCGAGAACACCUGGAAGAGGACACGUUUUGCUGUGUUUUCCUUAUGCAUGGCUGCUCUGCUUCCUGCUAUUUUCUUUUUCCACUGCUGUGAUAAUAAGGUGGAUGCUGGAAACACCCUUCAGUGAUCCACAUCUUGCCAAGAGCAAAUGUACUGCUGCCUAUUUAACACAGCAUCAUUCUUCAGCAGUUUUCAUGAAAAUCGCUGAAUGUUGGUAGAUAUGUAAUGCUCAUCACCAAUAUCUCAGCAUCCUGCAGUAACGCUUUAUGUGUCCUCACACCAAGCAAGUCAGGAAAUGACCUACAAAGACUUCUACAUCAACUCCAGGAAUGAAUGCAAAUAUUGGACACAAAUCUGAACAUUGGAGGACAAGAUUCUUGAGGGUGGGGGUAAUGAAAAAAUGACGACAUACAAGGCAAAGGUUUUUAAGGUGCAGACAGUAAAAUAACAAAAUGUGUCUGGAAAUCUACAUCUUGCAAAUUUUGUUAAUCCAGCACUCCUAAUUUAAGCAUAUAUUUGAGCCAGAGCCACAACCUAAAACUGCUUCCUGCAAGUUCAAAUGGAGCCUCUACAGCAGCACCCGUGAGCUGGUACACUACUUGACCCUCAGCAUGCACCUUUAACAGUUGGGUGUUGACUAAUCCACUCCCAGACUCACUCUCUCUUUUUGGGCCAAAACAUCUUCAUGCUGCACCUGGGCAGGGGGGCAGCUUCAGUAGGAAAGGAGUGUAGCUCAGACAGAGAGGGGGUGAUAACUCCUACAGUAGAUGUAUGUGCUUGUUUCCUUUCAAAUUUAACAGUUAUGGAUUUGCUUACAAUUUAAAUAUCUAAGACUUCACUUCUUCCUUAGGACAAUCAUUUUUCCCUUCUCACUGUGGUCUCCUUGUCUUGACCAGUUCCCUCAAGGCAGCAGCCUGCAGGCCAAGUCAGGCCUC